rnacentral:rRNA from 1 species
AAAGACCCACCACAGAAGGUAAUAGUCCUGUAUGUUAAACGAGAAGACUUUAGAUAUGAUCCAGAGUACCACGGGACACGUGAAACCCUGUGGGAAGCAGGAGGGACCACCCUCCAAGGCUAAAUACUACCUAGUGACCGAUAGCGUAUAGUACCGUGAGGGAAAGGUGAAAAGAACCCCGGGAGGGGAGUGAAAUAGAACCUGAAACCCUGCACUUACA